GUCGAGCGGGUAGCACAGGGUGAGCUUGCUCCCUGGGGUGACGAGCGGCGGACGGGUGAGUAAUGUCUGGGAAACUGCCUGAUGGAGGGGGAUAACUACUGGAAACGGUAGCUAAUACCGCAUAACGUCGCAAGACCAAAGAGGGGGACCUUCGGGCCUCUUGCCAUCAGAUGUGCCCAGAUGGGAUUAGCUAGUAGGUGGGGUAAUGGCUCACCUAGGCGACGAUCCCUAGCUGGUCUGAGAGGAUGACCAGCCACACUGGAACUGAGACACGGUCCAGACUCCUACGGGAGGCAGCAGUGGGGAAUAUUGCACAAUGGGCGCAAGCCUGAUGCAGCCAUGCCGCGUGUGUGAAGAAGGCCUUCGGGUUGUAAAGCACUUUCAGCGAGGAGGAAGGUGGUGAACUUAAUACGCUCAUCAAUUGACGUUACUCGCAGAAGAAGCACCGGCUAACUCCGUGCCAGCAGCCGCGGUAA
rnacentral:rRNA from 1 species